rnacentral:pre_miRNA from 17 species
GUCCUGUGUGGAAGCGGCGGCCCGGUUUGGAGGCAGUGUAGUUAGCUGAUUGCGGGCAGCAAUUGACAAUCGCUAUUUACACUACCAACAAAAUAGGCCUGAGCUCGGUGGCAGCGCCU